rnacentral:rRNA from 1 species
AAACAGCUAUGGGUCAAGUCUGAUAUCUUUAGGAGGGGCGAAGCUCCUCUUAUUGUGAGGGCGAGUUAUAUAACACCAUAGGACUGGCCGUCCCAUAUGAAAAGAUUAUAUUAGAAUUGAAUGAAGCUUUGUUUAUAUAUUGAUAAUGACAGUAUAUAUAUCGUGUCUUGACUAAUUGCGUGCCAGCAGUCGCGGUAAUACGUAAGAGACUAGUGUUAUUCAUCUUAAUUAGGUUUAAAGGGUACCCAGACGGUCAAUAUAGCUUAUAAAAUGUUAGUACUUGACUAGAGUUUUAUGUAAGAGGGCAGUACUUGAGGAGGAGAGAUGAAAUUUCGUGAUACCAAAGGGACUCUGUAAAGGCGAAGGCAGCCCUCUAUGUAAAAACUGACGUUGAAGGACGAAGGCACAGAGAACAAACAGGAUUAGAUACCCAAGUAGUCUUUGCAGUAAAUGAUGAAUGCCAUAGGUUAGAUGGGUGGGCUCGUAUAGUUGAGUUAGUUUAGCAAACUAAUGAUCUAGACGAGCCCACCGUAUAUUUGGUCUAUAAAUGAAAGUGUAAGCAUUUCACCUCAAGAGA